rnacentral:rRNA from 1 species
GUCUAUGGCCAUACAACCCUGAAAGUGCCCGAUCUUGUCCCACAUCAGAAACUAAGCAGGACUGGGCCUGGUUAGUACUUGGAUGGGAGAAAUAACAUAACUUACU